rnacentral:RNase_P_RNA from 1 species
UUCGCAGGCCAUCUUAUCGCUUCUAGAAUAUAGAAGAGGAAAGUCCGGACACCAAAGAGCGGCAUAGCGGGUAACACCCGUCCUUCAAAAGAAGAGGAAAAGUGCAACAGAAAGAAUGUACAGUUAGGCUGUAGUGAAAUCAUGUAAACUCUAUGUGGUGCAACGCCAAGUAAAUCUACAUAAGAAUUGCUCGUUCAAAGUAGAAGGGUAGGCGGCUAGAGUGUUGAAGUAAUUUUACACCCAGAUAAAUGAUAAGACUAGACAGAAUCCGGCUUACAGGCCUGCUUUUUAA